GGAGUGCCCCGCCCCACCCACAUGUGGAGCCGGAGAGAAGGUGGUCACCUUCUCAUCUAGUGAUACAUACCUGCUGUGACAUUGGACACUAUGCUGCGUCCAGCGCGGCACCAUGGAGCCCAGCGGCCUGCGCCCUAAUGCCUCCUUGCCCCCACGCUGCAUUGCAUUGCAUCGCACCCAUAGGCCCCAGCGCUGGGGCUCGACCCCGUGCCCUGAGCACCUGGCCACGACUGUGCGGAGGCCCCCCGCGUGGAAGUACUGCUGAGGACUCGGGACAGUGCUGUGCCGGACAGCCUCGGCCAGGUCCAUCUUGCUGGAGCCCAUCUACUGGGAUUCCUCCAAUGCCAAGAUUUUUUUAUGUGGGGAGAAGUGCCUGGAUCAACCAAUUCAGAAGCUGCUCCAAUCAGCAGAUGAAGAAG